GACGAACGCUGGCGGCGUGCCUAAUACAUGCAAGUAGAACGCUGAAGAGAGGAGCUUGCUCUUCUUGGAUGAGUUGCGAACGGGUGAGUAACGCGUAGGUAACCUGCCUGGUAGCGGGGGAUAACUAUUGGAAACGAUAGCUAAUACCGCAUAAAAUUGAUUAUUGCAUGAUAAUUAAUUGAAAGAUGCAACUGCAUCACUACCAGAUGGACCUGCGUUGUAUUAGCUAGUUGGUGAGGUAACGGCUCACCAAGGCGACGAUACAUGGCCGACCUGAGAGGGUGGUCGGCCACACUGGGACUGGGACACGGCCCAGACUCCUACGGGAGGCAGCAGUAGGGAAUCUUCGGCAAUGGGGGGAACCCUGACCGAGCCACGCCGCGUGAGUGAAGAAGGUUUUCGGAUCGUAAAGCUCUGCUGUAAGAGAAGAACGGGUGUGAGAGUGGAAAGUUCACACUUUGACGGUAUCUUACCAGAAAGGGACGGCUAACUACGUG
rnacentral:rRNA from 1 species